rnacentral:lncRNA from 1 species
UUUCACUAGUGGAUCUUCUAUUGUUGACAACUUUUGGGAGAAUCUUGGGCAUGUUAAAUUUAGCAUUUACGAUUGAUGAUUCCUUGGUUGGUCUUAGACUUGGAAUGUUUUAACAUGGAUCUCUUAUUUGUUGGAAUGAUGUGGGAGAAAGAAAAGAAAAAAAAAUGAUUAUAGAAUAUUAGGAGGAUUUGAUACUAAAGAUUUCUCCUAUUUCUAUUAAGCCAAUUAUGAUCUCUGGGUAGAAUCAAGAGAAAUUAAUUUCUUUGGGAUAUAAUUAUGGCAUUUUAAUCCAAGGUUGGGAGUUUGGAAUUCUUUUGAAGGAGAUCAAAAGAACUUACUACGUGUGGUAAAAAGAAAGGAUCAAGUUGUAAGAUGCUGUGAUUAUUGUAUGUCAAAAUCUUAUGAGUAGGUACUCCGAGAGGGAGACUAUUUGAGAUCUCAGGGACGAUAUGAUGGAUGUAUAUUUUU